AGGAUUAACGCUGGCGGCGUGCCUGACACAUGCAAGUCGAACGAGGCCGCAAGGCCGAGUGGCGGACGGGUGAGUAACACGUGACCAACCAACCUCGAAGUUGGGAAUAGCUCUGCGAAAGUAGGGGUAAUACCGAAUGUGGCCCAGGGCGGGCAUCCGCCUUGGUCUAAAGAUUCAUCGCUUCGAGACGGGGUCGCGGCCUAUUAGCUUGUUGGUGAGGUAACGGCUCACCAAGGCGAUGAUGGGUAGCUGGUCUGAGAGGACGACCAGCCACACUGGGACUGAGACACGGCCCAGACUCCUACGGGAGGCAGCAGUGAGGAAUCUUCCGCAAUGGGCGAAAGCCUGACGGAGCAACGCCGCGUGUGGGAUGAAGACUCUAGGGUUGUAAACCACUGUCGGAGGGGACGAUCGUGACGGUACCCUCAAGAAACGCCCGGCUAACUACGCGCCAGCAGCCGC
rnacentral:rRNA from 1 species